rnacentral:rRNA from 1 species
GGACAGAUGGGAGCUUGCUCCUGAUGUUAGCGGCGGACGGUGGAUUAGGACGUGGGUAACCUGCCUGUAAGACUGGGAUAACUCCGGGAAACCGGGGCUAAUACCGGAUGCUUGAUUGAACCGCAUGGUUCAAUUAUAAAAGGUGGCUUCUGGCUACCACUAACAGAUGAACCGGCGGGGCUUUACCUGGUUGUGAGGGUACGGGCUCCCCAGGCGACCGACUUGGGCCGGCUUCGCUUUUUUUGGCCUUAAUAGGGCUUAAAACCCGUCCAAAAUCCUACCAAACAACCUUUGGGAAUCUUCCGAAAUGUACGAAAGGCUUACCGGGGAAGGCAAAAAGAUUUUUGAAGGUUUUCAGAUUGUUAAAUUCGGUUGGUGGGGGGGCCGGUUCCGUUCUAAUUGGGGGGCCCCUGACGGGACAAAACCCGAAAGCCCCCGCUUACUUCCUGCCAGCAAGCGCGGUAAUUCGGAGGUGGGAAGGCUUUUCCGGAUUUUGGGCGCUCAAGCCGGCCCCCGCCGGCCCAAAGGCAAAAGGGAAGGAGGGGUUAGACGGGGGGGGUCCUUGGAAAUUGGGGAACCUAAGGCAAAAGGGGAAAAUCGAAUUCCCCGGGAGCGGGGAAAAUGGUUGGGGUUUGGGGAACACCCAGGGGGCAGGCUAUUUUUUAGGCUGUAACUGACGCUGAGGCGCGAAAGCGUGGGGAGCGAACAGGAUUAGAUACCCUGGUAGUCCACGCCGUAAACGAUGAGUGCUAAGUGUUAGAGGGUUUCCGCCCUUUAGUGCUGCAGCAAACGCAUUAAGCACUCCGCCUGGGGAGUACGGUCGCAAGACUGAAACUCAAAGGAAUUGACGGGGGCCCGCACAAGCGGUGGAGCAUGUGGUUUAAUUCGAAGCAACGCGAAGAACCUUACCAGGUCUUGACAUCCUCUGACAACCCUAGAGAUAGGGCUUCCCCUUCGGGGGCAGAGUGACAGGUGGUGCAUGGUUGUCGUCAGCUCGUGUCGUGAGAUGUUGGGUUAAGUCCCGCAACGAGCGCAACCCUUGAUCUUAGUUGCCAGCAUUCAGUUGGGCACUCUAAGGUGACUGCCGGUGACAAACCGGAGGAAGGUGGGGAUGACGUCAAAUCAUCAUGCCCCUUAUGACCUGGGCUACACACGUGCUACAAUGGGCAGAACAAAGGGCAGCGAAGCCGCGAGGCUAAGCCAAUCCCACAAAUCUGUUCUCAGUUCGGAUCGCAGUCUGCAACUCGACUGCGUGAAGCUGGAAUCGCUAGUAAUCGCGGUUCGCAUGCCGCGGUGAAUACGUUCCCGGGCCUUGUACAGACCCCAACACACCACGAGAGUUUGUAACACCCGAAGUCGGUGAGUU